GAUGAACGCUGGCGGCGUGCUUAACACAUGCAAGUCGAACGGUGAACGAGGGAGCUUGCUCCCUCCGGAUCAGUGGCGAACGGGUGAGUAACACGUGAGCAAUCUGCCCUGGACUCUGGGAUAAGCGUUGGAAACGACGUCUAAUACCGGAUACGAGGCGUGGGGGCAUCCCCAACGCCUGGAAAGAACUUCGGUCCAGGAUGAGCUCGCGGCCUAUCAGGUAGUUGGUGAGGUAACGGCUCACCAAGCCUACGACGGGUAGCCGGCCUGAGAGGGUGACCGGCCACACUGGGACUGAGACACGGCCCAGACUCCUACGGGAGGCAGCAGUGGGGAAUAUUGCACAAUGGGCGCAAGCCUGAUGCAGCAACGCCGCGUGAGGGACGACGGCCUUCGGGUUGUAAACCUCUUUCGCCAGGGACGAAGCGCAAGUGACGGUACCUGGAGAAGAAGGACCGGCCAACUACGUGCCAGCCGCCGCCGUAAUAC
rnacentral:rRNA from 1 species